GUGAAUCAUCAAAUCUUUGAACGCAAAUUGCACUCUCCUCGGAGAGUAUGCCUGUUUGAGGGUCAGCCUAAAAAAAUUCGCCAUUGUUGCUGUUUGAUGGGGCCUUUCGUCGGAGAUGGGUUAUCUUAAAUCUCGGUUUAAGCGACUUAAAAUCAUCUUUUUGGUGCCAUGAACGUUUCUAAGAUUUAUUUCUCUAUACGUUUAAGGUAUCGAUUUUUAUUAGACGUGACAAUCAUAU
rnacentral:misc_RNA from 1 species